rnacentral:rRNA from 1 species
UGGGGAAUAUUGGACAAUGGGCGAAAGCCUGAUCCAGCCAUGCCGCGUGUGUGAAGAAGGUCUUCGGAUUGUAAAGCACUUUAAGUUGGGAGGAAGGGCAGUAAGCGAAUACCUUGCUGUUUUGACGUUACCGACAGAAUAAGCACCGGCUAACUCUGUGCCAGCAGCCGCGGUAAUACAGAGGGUGCAAGCGUUAAUCGGAAUUACUGGGCGUAAAGCGCACGUAGGUGGUUCGUUAAGUUGAAUGUGAAAGCCCCGGGCUCAACCUGGGAACUGCAUCCAAAACUGGCGAGCUAGAGUAGGGCAGAGGGUGGUGGAAUUUCCUGUGUAGCGGUGAAAUGCGUAGAUAUAGGAAGGAACACCAGUGGCGAAGGCGACCACCUGGGCUCAUACUGACACUGAGGUGCGAAAGCGUGGGGAGCAAACAGG